GUGAACGCUGGCGCUAUGCUAACACAGCAAGUCGCACGAGGGGCUUCGGCCCCUAGUGGCGGACGGGUGAGUAACGUCGUAGGUAUCUGUCCCUGGGGUGGGGGAUAACAGCGGGAAACUGCUAGCUAAUACCGCAUGACACCUGAGGGUCAAAGGCGCGAGUCGCCUUGGGAGGAGCCUGCGUCCGAUUAGCUAGUUGGUGGGGUAAAGGCCUACCAAGGCGACGAUCGGUAGCUGGUCUGAGAGGAUGAUCAGCCACAUUGGGACUGAGACACGGCCCAAACUCCUACGGGAGGCAGCAGUGGGAAUAUUGGACAAUGGGCGCAAGCCUGAUCCAGCAAUGCCGCGUGGAUGAAGAAGGUCUUCGGAUUGUAAAGUCCUUUCGACGGGGACGAUGAUGACGGUACCCGUAGAAGAAGCCCCGGCUAACUUCGUGCCAGCAGCCGCGGUAAUACGAAGGGGGCUAGCGUUACUCGGAAUGACUGGGCGUAAAGGCGGCGUAGGCGGUUUGCUUAGUUAGGCGUGAAAUUCCUGGGCUCAACCUGGGGCUGCGCUAAUACAGGCAGACUAGAGUGUGAAGAGGGUCGUGGAGGAAUUUCCAGUGUAGAGGUGAAAUUCGUAGAUAUUGGAAAGAACACCGGUGGCGAAGGCGGCGACCUGGUUCAUUACUGACGCUGAGGCGCCGAAAGCGUGGGGAGCAACAGGAUUAGAUACCCUGGUAGUCCACGCCCGUAAACGAUGUGUGCUGGAUGUUAGGCAACCUAGUUGCUUAGUGUCGUAGCUAACGCGGUAUAGCACACCGCCUGGGGAGUACGGCCGCAAGGUUAAACUCAAAGGAAUUGACGGGGACCCGCACAAGCGGUGGAUGCAUGUGGUAUUAAUUCGAAUGCAACGCGAAAACCUUACCAGACCUUGACAUGGGCAGGCCGCGGCAGAGAUCUGGUAGUUCCCGCAGAGGGACCUGCUGCACAGGUGCUGCAUGGCUGUCGUCAGCUCGUGUCGUGAGAUGUUGGGUUAAGUCCCGCAACGAGCGCAACCCUCGUCAUUAGUUGCCAGCAAGUUGGGGCACUCUAAUAGGACUGCCGGUGACAAGCCGGAGGAAGGUGGGGAUGACGUCAAGUCCUCAUGGCCCUUAUGGUCCUGGGCUUACACACGUGCAUACAAUGGCGGUGACAGUGGGAAGCUAGGUCGCGAGGCCGUGAGCUAAUCUCUAAAGCCGUCGUCAGUCAGAUUGCAGCUCUGCAACUCGGACUGCAUGAAGGUGGAAUCGCUAGUAAUCGCGGAUCAGCAUGUCACGGUGAAUACGUUCCCGGGUCCUUGUACACACCGCCCGUCACACCAUGGGAGUGGUGUUCGACCUUAAGUCGGUCGCGUGAACCCGUAAGGGGCAUAGCCGACCACGGUCGGGAUUAGCUGACUGGGGUG
rnacentral:rRNA from 1 species